UCUUGCUUGAUUAUCAUUAAUUUUCACUAAUGACUUCUCUAUUUUCAACCUCAAUUUCUUCUAACAAUUUUCACCAAUUUCUUUUGAGAAAAUUCUCAUACAUUUUCUAUCAAUAUCCAUUGAUGUGAGAUUGCAACAAAUAUGGACCUCCAUUGAAUUUUUUACCGAUUAAUUGCUCUCUUUGGUAUUUGAGGACAAAUAAAUCUACUGAAAAUGUAGAUGAAUUAGACCCUUUAGUAAAAAAAAACAAUCAUUUCCAAUAUUCCAUCUUUAAAAACCCUUAUUUUUUCAUGACAUACA
rnacentral:lncRNA from 1 species